CCUACGGGAGGCAGCAGUGAGGAAUAUUGGUCAAUGGACGAGAGUCUGAACCAGCCAAGUAGCGUGAAGGAUGACUGCCCUAUGGGUUGUAAACUUCUUUUAUAUGGGAAUAAAACGUUCCACGUGUGGGAUUUUGUAUGUACCAUAUGAAUAAUGAUCGGCUAACUCCGUGCCAGCAGCCGCGGUAAUACGGAGGAUCCGAGCGUUAUCUGGAUUUAUUGGGUUUAAAGGGAGCGUAGGUGGAUUGUUAAGUCAGUUGUGAAAGUUUGCGGCUCAACCGUAAAAUUGCAGUUGAAACUGGCAGUCUUGAGUACAGUAGAGGUGGGCGGAAUUCGUGGUGUAGCGGUGAAAUGCUGAGAUAUCACGAAGAACUCCGAUUGCGAAGGCAGUUCACUGGACUGCAACUGACACUGAGGCUCGAAAGUGUGGGUAUCAAACAGGAUUAGAUACCCGGGUAGUC
rnacentral:rRNA from 1 species